AGAAUUUGAAGCGAUGAAUUGCAAUUAGUUUCGACCUAGUUUUAGGUGUAUAUACCCAUAUUCU
rnacentral:tRNA from 1 species